AGAACUCCCUACUUGUAUUUUCUGCUCUUUGGUUUUUUUUUUCCUAUCAAUUUAUUUCUAUUUCUCCAAUUGACGGUCAUUACCAUUUGACCAAAAAAAAAAAGAAACUCCCCUCUCUUGUCACUUUAUUAGUCUCUUUGUAGGAGGUGCAUAUUUGUUCGGGUACAAUGAGCAAUUUUUCCACAGGAUUUGCCAAUUGUUCUUUUAAUAAGGAGGUACAUGAAGAUGCAAAAAGUGUUUUAAGAGUGAAGUUUAUAGGUUACAGACGUUGCAUUAGCACAUGAGGAAACAAAAUACUUUGUCUUUUUCAAUUUAGCAUUAUUCAUGUAUUUCAAUUAGACUUUUUAUGAUUGAAUUAUUUCACUUUAUUUACUCAAUGUUUGGACCCAUAUGUUAUCUCAUAAUAAUUAUAGAUGUAACUAGUAGUUGAUUUUGUAUG